CACCGCGGUUAAACGAGAGGCCCUAGUUGAUAUUAAACGGCGUAAAGGGUGGUUAGGAAAAAAAAUAAUAAAGCCAAAUGGCCCCUCGGCUGUUAUACGCUUCUAGGCGUCCGAAGCCCUAUUUUACGAAAGUAGCUUUAACAAUAUACCCGACCCCACGAAAGCUAAGAAA
rnacentral:rRNA from 1 species